UUUAUAGCCUCUGGCUAUAGGAAAUUGUUAGUGGCAGACGGGUGAGUAAUGCGUAGGAAUCUACCUAGUAGUACGGAAUAGCCAUUAGAAAUGGUGGGUAAUACUGUAUAAUCCCCGAGGGGGAAAGAUUUAUCGCUAUUAGAUGAGCCUACGUUAGAUUAGCUAGUUGGUGAGGUAAUGGCUUACCAAGGCUAUGAUCUAUAGCUGGUCUGAGAGGACGAUCAGCCACACUGGAACUGAGAUACGGUCCAGACUCCUACGGGAGGCAGCAGUGGGGAAUAUUGGACAAUGGGCGAAAGCCUGAUCCAGCUAUGCCGCGUGAGUGAAGAAGGCCUUCGGGUUGUAAAACUCUUUCAAUAGGGAAGAUAAUGACGGUACCUAUAGAAGAAGUCCCGGCAAACUCUGUGCCA
rnacentral:rRNA from 1 species